AGUGAACGCUGGCGGUAGGCCUAACACAUGCAAGUCGAACGGCAGCACAGGAGAGCUUGCUCUCUGGGUGGCGAGUGGCGGACGGGUGAGGAAUAUAUCGGAAUCUACUCUGUCGUGGGGGAUAACGUAGGGAAACUUACGCUAAUACCGCAUACGACCUACGGGUGAAAGCAGGGGAUCUUCGGACCUUGCGCGAUUGAAUGAGCCGAUGUCGGAUUAGCUAGUUGGCGGGGUAAAGGCCCACCAAGGCGACGAUCCGUAGCUGGUCUGAGAGGAUGAGCAGCCACACUGGAACUGAGACACGGUCCAGACUCCUACGGGAGGCAGCAGUGGGGAAUAUUGGACAAUGGGCGCAAGCCUGAUCCAGCCAUACCGCGUGGGUGAAGAAGGCCUUCGGGUUGUAAAGCUCUUUUGUUGGGAAAGAAAUCCAGCUGGCUAAUACCCGGUUGGGAUGACGGUACCCAAAGAAUAAGCACCGGCUAACUUCGUGCCAGCCGCCGCAGUAA
rnacentral:rRNA from 1 species